rnacentral:rRNA from 1 species
GUACGGUGAGUGGCAGACGGGUGAGUAAUGCAUAGGAAUCUGCCCAGUAGUAAGGAAUAACUCAUGGAAACAUGAGCUAAUACUGUAUAUUACCGAUUUAUCGGGAAAGGCUUCGGCCGCUAUUGGAUGAGCCUAUGUCAGAUUAGUUUGUUGGUGGGGUAAAGGCCUACCAAGACUGUGAUCUGUAACUGGUUUGAGAGAAUGAUCAGUCACACUGGGACUGCGACACGGCCCAGACUCC